rnacentral:rRNA from 1 species
GCAUAUCAAUAAGCGGAGGAAAAGAAACUAACAAGGAUUCCCCUAGUAACGGCGAGUGAAGAGGGAAAAGCUCAAAUUUUAAAUCUACCUGGUUCCCAGGUCGAAUUGUAAUUUGAAGAAGCGAUAUCGGUGUGGAGGUCUGGUUCAAGUUCUUUGGAACAAGACAUCAUGGAGGGUGAGAAUCCCGUGCAUGAUCAGACCAAAAUACUUAAUAUUCGUUUUCUAAGAGUCGAGUUGUUUGGGAAUGCAGCUCAAAAUGGGUGGUAGACUUCACCUAAGGCUAAAUAUCAGCGAGAGACCGAUAGCGAACAAGUACUGUGAAGGAAAGAUGAAAAGAACUUUGAAAAGAGAGUUAAAUAGUACGUGAAAUUGUUGAAAGGGAAACGAUUGAAGUCAGUCAUGCUAGUGAAAAAUCAGUUUGACGGGUUUUGAGUUCGGGAGUAGAGGCAGGGUCAAACCGUUUCUCUUUUGGACUUGGGAUUUGUCGGAUGUACUUUUUCUUUGGCAGGUCAGCGUCGGUUUCGGAGGUUGUAAAAUACUUGGGGGAAAGUAGCUCUGCUUCGGGAGAGUAUUAUAGACCCUGGGGGAUGCAGCCUGUGGGAUCGAGGAUUGCAGCAAAUGCCUUUGGCUUGUCGCCUGAUCUCUGGAUGUUACCUUGCUUGUGACAACAUUCUUGCCACCGGUGAGUACUGAUGCCCAUUAGGUUAGAACGAUCAAAAAUUUGCUAAGGAUGCUGACGUAAUGGCUUUAAACGAC